GGAGAGGCCGCGGGCGGACGGGGGCGCUCGGACCGGGGGGCUCGGCGGGGACCGCCCGGUGGCACCGCCCGCAGCGCCGCGGAUCUAUGUGAGAAUGACCAUGUUCUUGUGUCUCUUAUACUUCAUAUCUGGAUCUUAAAGUACCUGUAGUUUGGGGGAGACCAGUGAAUAUCCUGCUCCGUUAUGAGAAGCAUUCACCAACAUAAAGCAAUCUGGAAGAAGAUUUCUCUUAAGAAAAUCAAAGAGCAUAGAAUCCUUUAAUAAAGCAGAAGACAUUGAGAAUUUCAUAAGCUUUUGGCUAUUCGAGUCUUAAAAGAAAUGAACCGUUACACAAUUAUGAAACAACUAGGUGAUGGCACCUAUGGCAGUGUGUUGAUGGGGAAGAGCAACGAGUCAGGAGAACUUGUGGCUAUCAAAAGAAUGAAAAGAAAGUUCUAUUCAUGGGAUGAAUGUAUGAAUUUGAGAGAAGUCAAGUCUCUGAAGAAGCUAAACCAUGCCAAUGUAAUAAAAUUGAAAGAAGUCAUACGAGAAAAUGACCACCUUUACUUUGUAUUUGAAUAUAUGAAGGAAAAUCUCUAUCAGUUAAUGAAGGAUAGAAACAAGUUGUUCCCUGAGUCAGUCAUCAGAAACAUGAUGUAUCAGAUAUUACAAGGGCUGGCUUUUAUCCACAAACACGGAUUUUUUCAUAGAGAUAUGAAGCCUGAAAACCUUCUCUGUAUUGGACCAGAACUUGUGAAAAUAGCAGAUUUUGGUUUGGCUAGAGAACUAAGGUCUCAGCCACCUUACACAGAUUAUGUUUCUACCAGGUGGUACCGUGCUCCUGAAGUUUUGCUGAGAUCAUCUAUCUAUAGCUCACCUAUUGAUAUGUGGGCAGUUGGCAGCAUAAUGGCUGAAUUAUACACACUAAGACCUCUUUUCCCAGGCACAAGUGAAGUAGAUGAAAUCUUCAAAAUUUGCCAAGUACUGGGGACUCCAAAGAAGAGUGACUGGCCGGAAGGAUACCACCUUGCUUCUGCCAUGAAUUUCCGUUUCCCACAAUGUGUCCCUAUAAGCCUAAAAACUCUCAUCCCAAAUGCAAGCAAUGAAGCAAUACAGCUCAUGAGUGACAUGCUAAACUGGAAUCCAAAGAAGAGACCUACAGCAAGUCAGGCUUUGAAGUAUCCUUACUUUCAAGUUGGCCAAAUUUUAGGACCUCCUCCAAAAUAUCUGGAGAAGCAGACUCCUAUUAAACCGGUUCAGCCAACAGAGCCAAAGCCAGCUUUUCCUAAACUGGAAGCUAUAUCCAAGCCAGAACCUCUGUCUUCACCUGAUUUACCUGACAAAACAGAGCCACAGCCCCUGCCAAAGGUUAACCACCAGCCUCUCCAGCAAAUUCAGUUGCCUCAGAAUACAGCUAACCAGCAAGUACCAAAGCAGCAGCAGCCACAGGCACAACCAUUUUUUCCAAUUAUCAAUAAAAAUUCAUCACCUAAACAAGCAGCUAGUGGCCCUCUGAAUGUUGCACUAGGUCCUAAAAGCUGCAGAAGACGAUGGGGUCAGACUUUGGUAAAGGCUAUGGAUAGCUGGGAUGACUUGGAUGACCCUGAAUUUGGAAUGUCAUGUUCAAAGAAGCCUAGCAUUGCACUGUUAAAAGACAAGAAAAACAAGGAAUUUAUUUUUAGUGUGCCAGAACCAAAGCCUUCAUGCUGUUUCCAGCCAGGAGGGGAAAAUAAAGUUCUGAUGAGAAAUGAUUCUGGAAGAUCAAAUACAUCAGCAAAACAGUACUAUCUGAGACAAUCAAGAUAUCUACCUGGUGUAAACCCAAAGAGUGUCUCUUUAGCAGCAGUCAAUAGAGAAGGAUCACAAGGAACCUGGAACAACCAGUUGUUUUCUAAAUCACUGGCACAUACUGGAGGAGGAUUGACUUUCAGCAGAAAUACUACAGAUGAGAACUUAAUUAUACCUAUUGAAAAGCUAUCAUGCAAAGAAAGGUUUAAUGAAAAAUUAGAAGAUCCAAAAGCAGGUCACUGCCCUGUUGCUGGAUAAUGGUGAAGAAGUGAUCCUUAAGCAGCAUGUGCAUCUCUCCUGAAGGACUGCUUGUUCAUGACAGGACUUGGGACUUGCACCAUUUCCUGCAUUUGGAUUCUCUACCUGAUUCUUACACUGAUUUUACAGUGCUGUGGUUGAACAGAUUUUGGUGGAGUUACCUCAGCGUAAGAAGGUGGAAACUCUGGAUUCCAGGCAGCCUAGCUUGUGUCUAAAUACACUGUUGGCUAUAAGCAUUGCAAAUGCUGGAAUGUUUUACCUCUCCCCCUGUUCCUGCCCCCUCUGGUGUGUACUACCCAUGUGACACAUCUCAUUGCAACUACUUGUAGGGUUUUUUGAACUCACUACCCACCUCAAACAAUUCAACGACCUUAUCCUUUACGAAGAAUCAGGUGUGUGUUGUUUGAGAUGGGGGUAUGGCUUUGGCCACCCUUGUGGGACAUCAUGGCAAUGAGUGCUUGCCUAUAGACCAGCUGCCAGACCUCCUGGAUGCCUGAUGGAUGAUUACUUCUCUAGCAAGAACCCUUUCCUUUGUAUGGCAGUAGUCAGAGAUCACCCCUGCAGACCGCUCUGUUUCACCCAGACUGUUCAUCCUGGCUGCACUUUUUCACUUCCUGCAGAAGAAAUCAUAAAGGACAUUGGACAUUGAGAGGUAAGGAGAACCAAAAAAAUGGUUGAGCAAUUUUUGACAACUAAGCAGCUUUGCCGAGCUGUAGCAAAGAAGCAGAUAGAAGUAGUCUUUUCGAGGUUGUAUUAAUCGAGGCCUGUCAUGUUCUUAUUUUCAGACCUCAGAAUUUUAAGGAAUGUUAUUGAGUUCUCAGAUCUGAACUACUCCCAAUAGCUAGGAACUGGGGAAUAAGAGAAUGUGCGUGUAUAUAUCCACAAGCAGGUGAAUGAAUCACUAAAACUGUGUUGUUUUGGUUUUCAGGCAAAUUCCUGAAAAGGAAGAACAACUUAGAGUCUACAAGAAAGUUAAAUUUCAUUGGAAUACUUCAUUAAAGUUUUAUUUUUCACCAGCUGUAUUGAUGCGUCAUUCUUUACUGUGGAAACUGGCAUUAAGUGGACAGAGGAAAGCUACAUGGAGACCCAACUAUUUGCAGAGCUGUGAAGUGACAGUUUGAGGAGACUGGCAAAACUGAGUUAGCUGUACGCUUUUUGUUAGUGCUCCUGAACAGGGAGGUUUGCAACAACCCAAUGCAGCUGUAAUUAGCUAAGGAUACCUUUUUUGGGUUGUAGAUGACCACUUUUGCAGCUUAUAGAUCCACUGCUCUGAGCUCUGACAUAAUCAGAGAGGACUGAGAGUGUUUGUGUGAAGAGGAACAUUAGGGGAUUGCACAAAGGCCAGAAAUUUAGGAGACAAAAACUGUCAAAGUAGAUACCGCAUGUUUAGUGCAACUACCACUGAAACUAUGAUUAAUAUGCUCACAUUUAAUAAAGGUUAAACUACUGCGUAUGGCCUUGUAUUUCACAAUUUAAUACUACUGAACACAGAACCAUACCACUAGAGAAAAGCAUUUCUCUCUGGACAUUGUGCCAGCACAGUCUUUAUACUGUCCCAAGUGAUGACAGACAUGAGGAAGGUAAGAAAUUUUCUUAGAGGAGGGAAUCUAAGUAUUGUAACAGAUCCUUCUGCCACUGGACAUUAAUUUCAGUACUAAUUUUGUGUGUAUAUGCACAAUGCUUCUCAGCUUCCAAACAAGGAUGGUUAUGUCAACCUUCCCAUGGUAGUACUGCUUUAAAGAAAGAUCUGAAUCAAAACUAGGCAUAGUAUUAUAACCAGGGUUAAAGAAAGAGGGUAGUUGGGUCUGACCUUUAUAGUAGGCAGUGGAACUGGCAGUCAACUUCAAGUGGUGCACCACU